GUCUUUGGUCUGACAGCUCAUUCGGAAGAGCAUGAGACUUAAUCUCAUGGUUGUGGGUUCAAGCCUCACGGUGGGCA